rnacentral:rRNA from 1 species
UACGUAGGGGGCGAGCGUUGUCCGGAAUUACUGGGCGUAAAGGGUGCGUAGGCGGCUUUUUAAGUUGGAUGUGAAAUACCCGGGCUUAACUUGGGGGGUGCAUUCAAAACUGGAGAGCUAGAGUUCAGGAGAGGGAAGCGGAAUUCCUAGUGUAGCGGUGAAAUGCGUAGAUAUUAGGAGGAACACCAGUGGCGAAGGCGGCUUUCUGGACUGACACUGACGCUGAUGCACGAAAGCGUGGGGAGCAAACAGGAUUAGAUACCCUGGUAGUCCACGCUGUAAACGAUGAAUACUAGGUGUAGGGGGUAUGAACUCCCCCUGUGCCGUAGCAAACGCAAUAAGUAUUCCGCCUGGGGAGUACGGCCGCAAGGUUGAA